rnacentral:rRNA from 1 species
UCGAGAAUAAUUCACAAUGGGGGAAACCCUGAUGGUGCAACGCCGCGUGGAGGAUGAAGGUCUUCGGAUUGUAAACUCCUGUCAUCUGGGAGUAAGACCUGGGCGUGAAUAGCGCACAGGGUUGAUAGUACCAGAAGCGGAAGGGACGGCUAACUUCGUGCCAGCCGCCGCGGGAAUACGAAGGUCCCAAGCGUUGUUCGGAAUCACUGGGCGUAAAGGGUGCGUAGGCGGUUUGGUAAGUCAGAUGUGAAAUCCCGGGGCUCAACCCCGGAACUGCAUCCGAUACUGCCGGACUUGAGGACUGGAGAGGUGACUGGAAUUCUCGGUGUAGCAGUGAAAUGCGUGGAUAUCGAGAGGAACACUCGUGGCGUAAGCGAGUCACUGGACAGUAUCUGACGCUGAGGCACGAAGGCCAGGGUAGCGAA